rnacentral:lncRNA from 1 species
CAGCAGGAGGACAGACAGACCAACUCUGAGGUGAGAUAAAGAUCUCUGGAUCAGACUGUACAACACUGAGAAUGGGCGGAGAUAAUAGCAAGGAGUCUGAUAACGGAGCUGUGACGAAAGUCUCAACACGGGACGGGACUUCCGAGAUAUCUGUUGAACGAGUUGUGACAGAAUCCUCAAAAAGGUCAGAUGGUACAAUUAGAUACAAACAAGACCGAGUUUGUGUCAGGGCAACCUUAAGUAAGGACGAUGCAGUGGAUGAAAGUGAUCUGAUCGGGAGGAUUUUCCAAAAUAACCAGCUGUGUAUUGAAGGAGGCAGGAGGUAACUCUUUCUGAGGUCCCUGCAGCUACUUCCACUGCUUUGCUCCCAACAUCUGCUGCUGCUGCUGCUGCUGCCAGUCCUGUGCCACUGUACUCAAGAAAAAUGCUUAAAAUGCUGAAAAUAACAACCCAAGUUUACCCAGAAGUGACUGUUAACUUAUUUGGUUUGAAGACUUUUGGAAAAUGACAACCAAAGUUAGCCCAGUUGAUUCUGAAAGACUUUUUACUGUAAUUUGAUGCACUAAUGAACUGAAUCUUAAUGAUUGUGCUUCCUGCAUUUUAAUAACUUGUUACUCAAUAAUAAUCAGUCUUAUCAAAUAUACAUUUACCUACAAAUCUGUUUUUCUUUUUUUCUAUGUGAUGAGAAGAAUAAUCUAAAUAUGUGUCUGUAAACAUGUAAACUGUCAGCAGUGCUUAUGUGUGCUUAAAUGUGGAGAUAAUUAUCUUGAAGCUUCUUUAUAUACUGCUGUGGAGUUAAACCUAUAAAAUACAUGCUCUAUAAGCUGAUUUAUAUUUUGUAUUAAUCAAUAUCAAAUGUAACUGCUAUUAAAGGGAAAUAAAAAGAUCAAUAAAUGCCUAUAACAUGCAGUGUGGUAUUUUAUUAUGUGAGACUGUUUGUGGUGCUUGCUGAGACAUGUGUCCACUGUCAGAGGAGAUCAAGAUCAGAUUGUUGUGAUUUACACAUUCAGAGGAUGAUUCAGUGAGAGAGAGACGAGGGAAGGUGACAGUCUCAAUGUUAGAAACUAAGUUAUCAGUCUGGUAUUCUGCACUCUAUGCCUGACUAACCAUGUUAACUAGACUCCACCAUCACUAACUGUAUCACCUUCAGUUCAUCCUCUGGUUUGUUCCCAACAUCUUGUCUGCUGCUGCUGUCAGUCCUGUAUCACUUUACUUAAGAGAAAUUCUUUAAAUGAAGAAAGUUGAAACUAUCAGUCAACCCAAGACAUGCAGUUGGUGGAAAGACUCAGAAGACACCCACAAGGAAAGAUGAAUUAAAGGCUACUGAU